GAGGAAAGAAGAGGGGGAUUUGCAUGGAGGAGAGAUGCAGAGAAGAUGGCCAUGGGAAGAAAGGGGCAGAGGAUGGCGUGGGACAGCUAAACACCCGAGAGCGCCAAGGACUGCGGGACUCCAGGAGCUGGAAGAGCCCCUGCAGGUGUGUGGCCCCAGCGAUCCUGAGAUUUCAGUCUUCUGGCCUCCAAAAUGGGCUGAGAAUGGCCUGUCCAGGUGACCGGGGCUGGUGACAUUCACCGUUGUGAGCAUCCUCAAUGACAGCAUCCUCUGUAAAGGAGAUCCAUCCUGUGGUCCUGAAGAGGUGACUUGUGACCAUUAACAGCUGUUGCUGUCGAUUCUGUGCAGACAUUUCUGAAGUCCCUGGAUAAGUCAGGAAAUGCCAUUUCAGAUCAAAAGGAAAGUAUUUUAUUUUGUCUCAUCGGACUCUCUGAAACAUACAAGAAUAUGGGGUAAUUUGAUGCGCACAAUAUUGAAACUGGAAGAUCCUCAAAUAGGAGAUGAGAUAAAAAGUACAGUAGUCUUCAGAAAUUCCCCAGAAGAGUGAAGCUAUGAAGCUGUUUUCCCGAAUACCAAAACUCCCUCAAGUUGUAUAAGAUUUAGUCACUGACUACAACUUCAGACAAUCUUUAUGUGGUCUUUAUGAGAAAUGACAACGAAUACCCGUACAGGUUUUCAUCAUUCGCAUGUAGGGAACCCUGUUAGAGAAAUCUGGCGGAGGAUGAGUACUCUGCUUUUUGGAGCGUCUUUACACCCUAACGUCUGAGGAGACGCCAUGCUUCCUCUCAGAGCUUCUUUAAAUCUCAUAAUGAAGAAACAACUUGAGCUGAAGUCAACACAUUUUUCUCCUUGGUAAUAUUUUUGACUUCUGGGUUAUCUUGGGCUUAUGUUUCAUUGCUCUAGUGUUCUUCGCCUAACGAUCCAGUUAAAUUCAUUCCCCUACGGCAGCUAUUCCCAGUCUUUUUCACAUCAAGUCCCAUAUAAAACGGCUGUAUUUGUACAGCACGUCAGCGUAAACCGAAGAGGAUUUUGGCGGUUUCUAAAUGGGGCUUGGUGAAAAAAAUAUUGUAUUUUCUUUCCCUUAUACAGAUGUGUUAAGAAAAGCAAAACACAAAUGCUAGGGGGAAUAUUACAAAUUGAAUUUGUACACAACUUCAAAAUAAAAUGUUUUCAUAUUUUAAAAGAAACUGGAACUUGCUUUAGUGUACCUAUAGUGUUUUCUUAUACAGUUUUAUGACAUGCUGGCUACACAUAUAUCCUAAUCAAGAUUUAUUUAAUGAUGAUCUUUUCACAUUCUUGACAGAAAUCAUCUGUGAGAAACUUUGUUCACGGGAGUAGUAGAUAGCAAAUAGCAAAAAUGUAUUUAUCAUUUUUUUUCCCAUUUGACAGACUCCAUAACAAUUGAGCAGAAUUCAAAUAAUGCAGACUCUUUAAAUAUAAAUUAUAUAUCAGUGUUUUCAAUCUAACAACUCAUCCUUUUCCUUUGUCAAGUAUAAUAUUUGAAUUUGUUACACAACAAAUUUCAAAUCCAAUUGAUACAUUUUUUUUUUAAAUCGAGUAUUUCAAAUACUGAUGAAGAUUUUCCUCAUCAACACACAAAUGUUACUUGGUCUUAAUAAGUUUGUAUAAAUACCCAAAUUAUUAUAUUGACCACAUAUCACUAGAAAAUUAUUUAAACUUCAAUUUUCUAAAGUUGAAAAAUUUGCUUUGUCAUUAUAUAAUUUUUCCACAAUCUUUGCAAAUUUCCAUUAAAUAAGCCAUUUUAAAGCCCAAACCUAUAUACUUCAACAAAUGUGCAAAGUGAAAAACAUCCAAUUCUUUUUCAAUUUCUUUUUUUAAACUGCUGAUAAAACUCUUCUUUUGGACAGUCAAUGCAAUUCAAUAUGAAACAGCAGAAAGUGGUAUUCUGAUAGUAUUUUUUUGCAAAAAUAUGAAAAGAAAUAGGGCUAUGAACUCUUGGAUUUUAUUAAAUUACCAAUUUGAUAAUGUGUGUAAUUCAGAUCUAUAAACUAACGUCUAUAUCUGAGACGAGUUUUGUGAAUAAAACAAUGUAUCACUAGGUCUCUGGAUGUUCAGAAGGAAUUCUUGAUGUAAAGCUUUCUUGAAGUGAGACCAUAAUAUACUACUUAUUUCUAAUGACUGUUGCAACUCCAAUAGUUUGUUAGGAAAUUUUCUGGCACAGUAAAUAUGGUUCUCCCAAGAAUUUUUCUUCAGGGUUCUGACAAAUGUUAUUAUUAGUAUUGCUCAGCAAAGAGAACAUUUUGAUUUAUAGUCUUCUGGGUCAAUGUUGUCUCUGUAACCUGAUGUGGUAUCAACAAAUCUACAAAUAUCAUUAUUUUAAAAAAGCCCUUUUGAAUUCCAAUGUCCUUUUAGUUCCAAAAAAGGCACAACUCUGUCUCAUGUGGUAUGGUGAAAUGAACAAUUUUGUGAUCAUGUGAGAAAGUUAGACUUUAGUUGUUAAUCAUGCCACCUCAAAAGUAGGUUUUUUGAAUUCAACAUUUGCCACUCUUACAACUAGUCUUUUUGUAAAAAUCAGGUUUCUUAUUUUGCACCUUAAAAAGUUUAAAAUUGUUUUCUGUGUCAGGUGAAUCUUUUAUUAUGAGAUGUCACUUUUUUUUUAUUGGUAUCAUUUCAUGUAAUAAUUUUUCUAUGUAAAAUGAUAUUUAGGCUGAGAAAGAGAAAACUUAUCAAAGCAUAUAAAUCUGUAUCUGAAAUAAUCAUUUUACUGUUUAUUUUAAACUUUUUAUUUGGACUACUGGGUUUGUCUUGCAUGUAUAUGAAGAUGUAUUCAACUUGUCAUAUAUUUGGUAUGAAAAUGAAUAGCUGUAAAAAGCAAACUUUAAAAUAUAGUUCUUGAUAGUAGGCCUUUACAAUUCAUAUUUAAUUUUUUUUUAAAUAGAUUUUUAGGUUGUCUACACUUUUAGGACAUUUUAAAAAUAUCACAUGAAAAGUAGGAGUUCCCGUCGUGGCGCAGUGGUUAACGAAUCCGACUAGGAACCAUGAGGUUGAGGGUUUGGUCCCUGCCCUUGCUCAAUGGGUUAAAGAUCUGGCGUUGCCAUGAGCUGUGGUGUAGGUUGCAGAUGCGGCUCGGAUCCUG
rnacentral:lncRNA from 1 species